CGACACUUAAUGCCUCUUGUAGGAUCUUUUCCUGGGGUGCGUUCAAAGGGGUGUACUAAGGGAAUAUUUGUCCCCGGGGCAAGUCCUUCGAUCGCGAACCUCCUAGCUUUUCGUUGGGACCAUUCAUAAUUUUUCCUUCCUUCUCCCCCAUCACCUCUUAGCUCUGCUUCCUUCUAAACUCUCGCAUCUCCUCUACCCUUAUAUCUUCAGUCGCUCGCUCUCUCAACACCUCUAUAAUUUUUUGUUGCCUUUGGCAUAGGUUGUCAACAAACGGUCCAAGUUUGAGGGUAGUCACAACGUGUUGGAGGAUGAACUUGGGGUUAAGGUUCUUAAUCCACCGCAUGGUCUUCUAAUAGCGAUCCAUGAAGGUUUUCAAGGGCUCUUCUUCUCCUGCUUGAGGCUCAUCAACGCCAAGGUCGUUAAGUCCUACGCUUGGCUGCCUGUGAACUGUUGACCAAACAUGCUCCUUAUGCUACAGAAAUUCUCCACCAAGUUAGGUGGUAGAGAGUUAAACCACUCUAAGGCUUUUCCCUCUAGGGACAAGGAGAAAGCUCUGCAUUAAAUGGCAUCACUAGUCGCGUGGAAUUCCAUUCAGUUGAUGAACAUCUUAAGAUGCUCCUUCGGAUCGGUCGACCCAUCGUACAUCCUAAAAAUAGGCAGCAAAAAUUGGUCAUAGAUGUAAGCCUCCAUGAUGGUUGGAAUGAAGGGUAGCAUCAUAGUCAUAUGUUCCGUUUUCAUCGAAUGGCGCUCAUUGCUAGCCAUGGUACUCUCUUCUUGUAUGGUUCUCGUUAUGUUGUCUCUAGCCUUGGUGCCGAUGAUCUGGUCCGUCC
rnacentral:lncRNA from 1 species